GUUUGCCUCAGGGAGCUGAGCUCGUCUGGAUUCCCACCAUGGCCUGGGCCCCUCUGCUCCUCACACUGCUCACUUACUGCUCAGGGGUCAGUUCGCAGCCUGUGGUGACUCAGGAGCCCUCAAAGUCGGUGACCCCAGGAGGGACUGUCACUCUGUCCUGCAGCCUGAGCACUGGAGCCAUCACCAGCAGCAACUAUCCCUCCUGGUUCCAGCAGAAAUCUGGCUCUGCUCCUCGGCUGCUUAUAUACAACACCAAUAACAGAGCCUCCGGGAUCCCUACCCGGUUCUCUGGGUCCAUAUCCAGUAACAAUGCUGUCCUGACCAUCACCGGUGUCCAGGCAGAGGAUGAGGCUGACUAUUACUGUGCUGUGUAUACGGGUAGCAGUGGUAGUGUGAAUCACAGUGAUCCAGCCAGAUGGGGAACUGAGACAAAAACCUCCCCUGUCUUCAUGGCCUGCUCCAAC